GGCGACGUGGCCGAGUGGCUUAGGCAGCGGCCUGCAAAGCCGUGUACCCCGGUUCGAAUCCGGGCGUCGCCU
rnacentral:tRNA from 2 species